AUUGAACGCUGGCGGCAUGCCUUACACAUGCAAGUCGAACGGCAGCACGGGUGCUUGCACCUGGUGGUGAGUGGCGAACGGGUGAGUAAUACAUCGGAACAUGUCCUGUAGUGGGGGAUAGCCCGGCGAAAGCCGGAUUAAUACCGCAUACGAUCCACGGAUGAAAGCGGGGGACCUUCGGGCCUCGCGCUAUAGGGUUGGCCGAUGGCUGAUUAGCUAGUUGGUGGGGUAAAGGCCUACCAAGGCGACGAUCAGUAGCUGGUCUGAGAGGACGACCAGCCACACUGGGACUGAGACACGGCCCAGACUCCUACGGGAGGCAGCAGUGGGGAAUUUUGGACAAUGGGCGAAAGCCUGAUCCAGCAAUGCCGCGUGUGUGAAGAAGGACUUCGGGUUGUAAAGCACUUUUGUCCGGAAAGAAAUCCUUGACUCUAAUACAGUCGGGGGAUGACGGUACCGGAAGAAUAAGCACCGGCUAACUACGUG
rnacentral:rRNA from 1 species